AAUACUAUACAUUAUAUAAUGGCCACGCGCUGUCGAGGUGUACUGGUUGUUCCAGAGGGCCAAAAGGCCAAACUUUGCUCUCACUGUUGCUUCAUCCAUCAGAAAAUGUCCGUCCCUUUGAUAGAUUAUUCUUUCUUCCAUCCAUCAUCCAUCGACACCCACCAAAACUCAUUGUAUUCGAUUUUCGACAAUUUUCUCCUUUUAUGAGCUUGAUGCCAUUGUGUUUUCAGCUGAAAAAACUUCAUUCCCAGAAAAAUACAAGGUAAUAUGGUGACGAAAAGGAAGGGCAAGAAUCACCACCACCGCAAGCAUGGCUCCAGCAAGAAGAGCCCACAAGGUGGUGGCAAAGGCAAAGCCAGGGCAUGUUGUUGUUGCCCUUGUCUUGCUGUUUCCUCUGUGGCUAGGGGAUUUGGGAGAUGUCUAUUUGUCACUUGUUAUCCAAUGAUUCAGUGCUUUGGAUGGGAUGAGAGAAGGCACCAUCACCAUCGCCAUCACAGGCACUUUUACUGAUGAUCUUUUCCAAUUCUCCUAGACUUGGGAUGGAACUUCUGAUGUUUCUUGGUUCUUUAUUUGUAAGUCUGUCGUCCCCUCUCAAUCACAAAAGAAGACAAAAGGGAAAAAGUUUUUUGGACAGAUUGUGUCAAAUUCAUCAUCCUCUGCUUUUAUUGUUGAAGAACGAAUAUUUUUAUUA